rnacentral:lncRNA from 1 species
CAGGGCCAAAGAUUUACUGGGGCUAACUAACACUCAGGAAAGGGAUAGGAAGGAAACAGGGCUGGAGAGCAGGUUGAGCCCGACCUGACAGUCUCGAGCAGCCCAACAGGGAGGUGUGGAGCAAGGGUUGCCCACUAGAGGGGCCUGCAUUGGGUACGGGUGAUGGGGUCCACAUGGUACCUGGCAUAUAGCAGGCUGUGCAAUCCAUAUUAACUGACUGGAUAAAUUAAUGCCCAGAAAAGGUGCCCUGGAGAAUGGGUGUGUGCUGAACACAAUAGGGAAGGGCCCAGCAUCUGCCUUGGCAUAGGCAGAACUGUGCUGUGCCCUGCAACAGGCCACCUGAGAGCUGCUUUGAUCUUGUGUGUGCAUUAGACGACUGCCAGGGGCAUGAAGGGGAUGUGCUUCCAGGGCAUUUGCUGGCAGGGCGUCUCGUGAUCUCUUGGUAUUGGUGUGAGCACAGCCUGGCAGGAGAGGGCAGAUCUCCGUGCAAAGUACGUCAGAAAGCAGAUGGAAGCCAGGCCCCCUCCUGAAAGAGGCUCCUUGAAGGUGGGCUGUGAUGAGAGUCAUGAUCAGUGAGUGGCUUCCAUGGCAGAAAGUUCUGUGUAGUUCUUGGGGGAUGUGAGUGUAAGUAUGAGGUGCUAAGACGAAUAUGUCCAUACAUUGUAAACUAUUUCCUCUGUCCUUUCCCUCCUCUAACC